rnacentral:rRNA from 1 species
UACGAAGGGGGGCUAGCGUUGCUCGGAAUGACUGGGCGUAAAGGGCGCGUAGGCGGAUGGCACAGUCAGAUGUGAAAUUCCCGGGCUUAACCUGGGGGCUGCAUUUGAUACGUGUUGUCUUGAGUUCGGAAGAGGGUCGUGGAAUUCCCAGUGUAGAGGUGAAAUUCGUAGAUAUUGGGAAGAAACACCGGUGGCGAAGGCGGCGACCUGGUCCGACACUGACGCUGAGGCGCGAAAGCGUGGGGAGCAAACAGG